GACGAACGCUGGCGGCGUGCUUAACACAUGCAAGUCGAACGGGCCCGCCCCUGUUUUUGGGGGUGGGUUGAGUGGCGAACGGGUGAGUAUCACGUGAGUAACCUGCCCCCUGCUCCUGGAUAACUGCUUGAAAGGGCGGCUAAUACGGGGUGUGCCGGCUGGUCCGCAUGGGCCUGGUCGGGAUAGUUUCAUCUUCGGGUGUUUCGGUGGGGGAUGGGCUCGCGGCCUAUCAGCUUGUUGGUGGGGUGAUGGCCCACCAAGGCGGUGACGGGUAGCCGGCCUGAGAGGGUGGGCGGCCACACUGGGACUGAGACCCGGCCCAGACUCCUGCGGGAGGCAGCAGUGGGGGGUAUUGCACAAGGGGCGGAAGCCUGAUGCAGCGACGUCGCGUGAGGGAUGGAGGCCGUCGGGUUGUGAACCUCUUUCUCCGGUGGUGAAGGCCCUGUCCGUUGCGGCGGGGUUGACGGUAGCCGGGUAUGAAGCGCCGGCUAACCACGUG
rnacentral:rRNA from 1 species